rnacentral:rRNA from 1 species
GAUGAACGCUAGCUACAGGCUUAACACAUGCAAGUCGAGGGGAAACGACAUCGAAAGCUUGCUUUUGAUGGGCGUCGACCGGCGCACGGGUGAGUAACGCGUAUCCAACCUGCCCAUCACUUGGGGAUAACCUUGCGAAAGUAAGACUAAUACCCAAUGAUAUCUCUAGAAGACAUCUGAAAGAGAUUAAAGAUUUAUCGGUGAUGGAUGGGGAUGCGUCUGAUUAGCUUGUUGGCGGGGUAACGGCCCACCAAGGCAACGAUCAGUAGGGGUUCUGAGAGGAAGGUCCCCCACAUUGGAACUGAGACACGGUCCAAACUCCUACGGGAGGCAGCAGUGAGGAAUAUUGGCCAAUGGGCGAGAGCCUGAACCAGCCAAGUAGCGUGCAGGAAGACGGCCCUAUGGGUUGUAAACUGCUUUUAUAAGGGAAUAAAGUGAGAGUCGUGACUCUUUUUGUAUGUACCUUAUGAAUAAGGACCGGCUAAUUCCGUG